CAGGAUGCAGCCCAGUUGGUAGAGUAGCUGCCUGGCAUGCAUAAAGCCCUGGGGUCGAUUCCCAGCAUCCGGC
rnacentral:tRNA from 1 species